GGUCUACUGGCGCAAUGGUAGCGUAUCAGCCUUCUACUUUCACGCAAAGCUAGGGGCGAGCUGAGGGUUGCGGGUUCGAGCCCCGCGUGGACCU